rnacentral:rRNA from 1 species
CAUUACCAAGAGAAAUCUUUCAACACUGAAAGAUCUUUUCCUUUGUGCUGGCUUUGACCGUAUGUAAUUUUGGGACUUUAAAAUGGUUCGCAAGGGCCGGUCCCAAAAACAAUAUAUCAUCCUUAUGAAAUUUUUUCUGAACAAUUAAACAAAUGAUUUUAAUAAUCUGUUUAAAACAACUUUCAACAACGGAUCUCUUGGUUCUCGCAUCGAUGAAGAACGCAGCGAAAUGCGAUACGUAAUGUGAAUUGCAGAAUUCAGUGAAUCAUCGAAUCUUUGAACGCACAUUGCACUCCUUGGUAUUCCGAGGAGUAUGCCUGUUUCAGUAUCAUGAGCACUCUCACACCUAACCUUUGGGUUUAUGGCGUGGAAUUGGAAUGCGCCGACUGUCAUGGUUGGCCCUUCUAAAAUGUAGUUCUUGGCUGUCACCUAAUACAGCAGUUUGGCCUAAUAGUUUUGGCAUUCAUUGUCAAAUCUUUGGCUAACAUUUGCUCCAGGAGUCAGUCUUGAUAAUACAGAAAACUCAUUCAAAUUUUGAUCUGAAAUCAGGUAGGGCUACCCGCUGAACUUAAGCAUAUCAAUAAGCGGAGGAA